rnacentral:rRNA from 2 species
UGGGGAAUAUUGGACAAUGGGCGAAAGCCUGAUCCAGCAACGCCGCGUGAGGGAUGACUGCCUUCGGGUUGUAAACCUCUUUCAGCAGGGACGAAGCGCAAGUGACGGUACCUGCAGAAGAAGCACCGGCCAACUACGUGCCAGCAGCCGCGGUAAUACGUAGGGUGCGAGCGUUGUCCGGAAUUAUUGGGCGUAAAGGGCUCGUAGGCGGUUUGUCACGUCGGGAGUGAAAACUCAGGGCUUAACCCUGAGCCUGCUUCCGAUACGGGCAGACUAGAGGUAUGCAGGGGAGAACGGAAUUCCUGGUGUAGCGGUGAAAUGCGCAGAUAUCAGGAGGAACACCGGUGGCGAAGGCGGUUCUCUGGGCAUUACCUGACGCUGAGGAGCGAAAGUGUGGGGAGCGAACAGG